AUUGAACGCUGGCGGCAGGCCUAACACAUGCAAGUCGAACGGUAGCACAGAGAGCUUGCUCUCGGGUGACGAGUGGCGGACGGGUGAGUAAUGUCUGGGAAACUGCCCGAUGGAGGGGGAUAACUACUGGAAACGGUAGCUAAUACCGCAUAACGUCGCAAGACCAAAGUGGGGGACCUUCGGGCCUCACACCAUCCGAUGUGCCCAGAUGGGAUUAGCUAGUAGGUGGGGUAAUGGCUCACCUAGGCGACGAUCCCUAGCUGGUCUGAGAGGAUGACCAGCCACACUGGAACUGAGACACGGUCCAGACUCCUACGGGAGGCAGCAGUGGGGAAUAUUGCACAAUGGGCGCAAGCCUGAUGCAGCCAUGCCGCGUGUAUGAAGAAGGCCUUCGGGUUGUAAAGUACUUUCAGCGGGGAGGAAGGCGGUGGAGUUAAUAACUUCACCGAUUGACGUUACCCGCAGAAUAAGCACCGGCUAACUCUGUGCCAGCCGCCGCCGUAA
rnacentral:rRNA from 1 species